GGGGCUCCCAGAACCCACUCUCCCCAAAGGCGAGUUUCCCAGAGGAAAUGACAUUUGAAGAGAGACUAAAGGAUGAGAAACAGCCUUCCUGGAAGAGGAAACAGCAAAUGCAAAAAUUCUGAGUUAGGAAAGAACUUGAUGCACUUGAGAAACAAAAAGAAGGCCGGCAAGACUGAAAUCCACAUAAGUCAGACCCGGGCACAGCAAACUGGACGUCCUCAGUAUAUAUGUGGCAACUGAAACCAGGCAUUUAGGACAUGAUCUCAUUCUGUUGCCCAGGGUGAGUGCAGCGGCACCUUCAUGGCUCAUUGCAGUCUCGAUCUCCCAGGCUCAAGCGAUCCUCCCACCUCAGCCUCCCAAAGUGCUGAGAUUGCAGGUGUGAGCCACCUUGCCCAGACCAUUCUGCAAUCUUCGGAAGGAAGUCAUUAUAUGCAGCCUACGCUUGAGGAGUGGGGAGUUGAAUUCCACAUCCUUGAGGGCAGAAUACCUAAAUAAAUUAUUUGGAAUUCUUCU
rnacentral:antisense_RNA from 1 species